rnacentral:rRNA from 1 species
GAUGAACGCUGGCGGCGUGCCUAAUACAUGCAAGUCGAACGAACGGACGAGAAGCUUGCUUCCCUGAUCUUACCGGCGAACGGGUGAGUAACACGUGGAUAACCUACCUAUAAGACUGGGAUAACAUCGGGAAACCGGAGCUAAUAACAGAUAAUCUUUUGACCCACAAGGUUCAAAAGUGCAUGACGGCCUUGCUAUCACUUAUAGAUGUACCCGCGCUGCAUUAGCUAGUUGGUAAGGUAACGGCUUACCAAGGCAACGAUGCAUAGCCGACCUGAGAGGGUGAUCGGCCACACUGGAACUGAGACACGGUCCAGACUCCUACGGGAGGCAGCAGUAGGGAAUCUUCCGCAAUGGGCGAAAGCCUGACGGAGCAACGCCGCGUGAGUGAUGAAGGUCUUCGGAUCGUAAAACUCUGUUGUUAGGGAAGAAAAUAUGUGUAAGUAACUGUGCACAUCUUGACGGUACCUAAUCAGAAAGCCACGGCUAACUACGUG